CCUGCCCCCAGAAGUACUGCAAAUAUGGUUUCUGUGUCACAUGGGCAUCAGUAGGUGGCAGAGAGGAGAGAGGUUAUGUAUAUUCUCCAUGCUUUGAUGUGUGAACAUCUGAGUGAUUAGUAGGAUGACAUU